rnacentral:misc_RNA from 1 species
GAAAUGCGAUACGCAAUGCGAAUUGCAGAAUCCCGCGAGUCAUCAGAUCUUUGAACGCAAUUGGCGCUGGUUCACAGCCAGCAUGUGCGGCUCAGUGUGUUCAGGAAAUCACACAGCUCACUGUGGUUGAGUAAGGCGAUGCUUUAUAGUAUCUCCCUCCCUCUCCCAUUAAACGCGGAGGCGUCGAGUCGCCGCCCACCGAAGUAGUCACUAGCUUUCUGGUGAUCUCGGCGCGGACAGGCGAUCUCAACAAAGGCGCUUCAUACCCCAAUAUCUACAUCUCCCCCCGCACCUGAGUCGCGCAAGACAACCCGCUGAACUUAA